AACGCAUCUUGCGCCCUGUGGUAUUCCACAGGGCACGCCUGUUUGAGUGUCACGUUAAUCUAUCACCCUUGGACUGUUCACGCAGUUCAUGUCGGUGGAUUUGGGUGUUGCCGUCAUUGGCUCGCCUUGAAAUGCAUUAGCGUUUGGCUCUCGUGUGGGGUCGUUGCGGUGUGAUAGUUUUUUGCAUCGUUGAUCUUAUGCUGGCUGAAGCUUAUAGUCGUCCUUCACGGGACAAUUAUUUGAACCUUGACCUCAAAUCAGGUGGGACUACCCGCUGAACUUAA
rnacentral:misc_RNA from 1 species